rnacentral:rRNA from 1 species
AGCAUAAUCAUUAGUCUUGUAAUUUAGGACUGGAAUGAACGGUUUAACCAAAGUAAAUUUGUCUUUUAAUAAUAUUUUGAAUUUUAUAUUUUAGUAACAAAGCUAAAAUUANAUUUGAGGGACGAGAAGACCCUAUCAAGUUUUACAAAUUNUANNNUAUUANUUUUCAACAUNAAUAAAUCACNUUGNUUUAGCUGGGGCAGCUUAUAGAAUAAAUUCUAUUUUUUUAUUGUNNAAUUUUAAAUUUUGUUUUAUCCUANAAUUUUAGAAUUAAAAAUAAAUUACUGUAGGGAUAACAGCAUAAUUUCUUUAAAGAGUUCUUAUCAUAAAAGAAGUUUGUGACCUCGAUGUUGGAUUAAGAGCCCUAUUCAACGCAAAAGUUAAAUUAGGAAGUCUGUUCGACUUUUAAACUCUUCCAUGAUCU